UCAAAGAAAGCGAAACCUCCCUAAGCUGCUGCUGCUGCAAUGGAGGCAAUCAUACCAGCAACGUCAUUACAAGAGGUGAAAGCAACAAAGAAGGUAAGGGGAGUUGUCUAUUUUUAUUUCCCCUGGAGUGGUCUAUAGUUUGUGUUAAGUAGCUCUCUAUACCAUAAAUGGAGAAUGGUAGUCAGGUCCACCUUAUUACUGCACUGCACUGGCUUAAAUUGGUGCUAUAUUCCCCCAACUUUUUUACUGUUGUACAAAGAUAUUAGUCUUUUGUAUGUUGAUUAGGUGAAGAUUGAAGCAAGGAUCAAAAAGAGUGUCACGUGAUGAGGAAGAAGAAUAAAGAAGUAGAAAGCAAGGUAUCGAACCUGACAACUUUUAACAUAUGGGCGAAGAAGGUUGAGCGAUCAGAUGAGAAUUUUCACUGCUGUCCCUUCUGUCACGUUAUGAGAACACCAUGAUUGGGGUAGAGGCAGUUAUUUUUAUUGGUUUUUUUAAUGCUCAGUUGGUUCAUGUAGUAGUUGACGAUUCAAUAGGAGAUACAAAUAGGUAUGGUUGUGAUUGGGAAUGAGAUGGCAAAAAUAUUGAGUUGCAAGAUAUUAUUGUAAGACAAGGGAGCUAAGGGGAAGGUUCAGAGACCAUGUGAAAUGGGUUAUGCAGGUGCAGUAGUAUCCUUGUAAAAUACUCUGUUUAUUUUUGGGUAUUGUAUUAGGGAGGAGGUGGCCAACCGAAGCCUAUGUUAGAGAGUUAUGCGAGAGUUGUUUAGGGUUUAGUGACAAGGGU
rnacentral:lncRNA from 1 species